GUGAAUCACACAGUUGUUAAGCAAAUCCAGCUUCCCCCCAUAGACUUUGCUUGUCAGAAGCCCACUGGGAAGGUUGCAAAUGGUGAUCACAUGACUGCAGAUGUUGCAACCAUUGUAAAUACAGGAGUGUUGCCAAGUUCCAAAACUUUGAUUACAUGACCAUGGGGAUACUGCAACAAUAAUAAGUGGGAGGACUGUCUGUCAGUCACUUUUUUUGAGUUGCCUACCCUUGGGCUAUACCUUCCGAUGGUCAUUAAACAAAUGAUUGUAAAUUGAGGACAACCUGUAUCGAUAAUCCUGUGGUAAGAAAGGGUGUUGGAAGGUAUUUUCCACUUGAUUUUAGAUUUAGUCCACACAUGCAGAAGAAGGGAAAACAGUUUUCAGAGCUCCAGUUAAUAAACAGACAAUAUUUGUGACUGCUCCCCUAUUGCUCGAUUCCUUCCAAAGGUUUGAGGGAAUCUGAGCAAAAUUCAAGAUGGGAGUUCCUCAUGAAUAUUUGUUUAUGAAUGGUUAUGGCCAGGGCUUUUCUUGUCAUAGAACACCCAGAACGCAGUUACGGCACCUUUUUUGGAUGGAACCUUGUAGGGUAGGCAAGGCCGGUUGUAUGACAUGUGUGAGUUCCAGCAUCAUUUUUUUUCUUUACAAAAAAAGCACUGGUUAUGGCAAAGCAUCAAGUCCCAACAGCAGAAUACAACCCAGCAGGAGAGCGCACUAGGAAUCUCAAUAGUUAAUUUAUUGCUAAGAAAGUAAAACAUUAAUGUACUGAAUCUUGAAAGUUGAGUAAGACAGAAUUCUAGCAUUCGUUUUUUAAGUACAUGCAUUAAAGCAGAGUCUCUGAGAAUCAUUUCAACUACUUUUUUCAGGACCAAUGAGCUAACCAAUCUUUUUCCAGAUUAGAUUAAUCCUAAAAUAUCCAUCUGCUCAUUGUUGUUAUUGUUUGGAUACACCUUCUUUUCUUCCCAGCCCCACAAUCUCUUCUGAACACAUUUUUCCAUUGCAUCUUAAGACAGGAGGCUACCUUUAAGAGCACAAGGCUGGCUGUGUAACACACAGUUUUCUCCUGCAUCACUCCCAACAUCUGUUGCCCAAGGUCCCUGUUUCAAUCUAACUCUUUGUAUAACCAGCCCUGCCUACUGAAAGAAAUCAGAGCAGAAAACCAGUGCAGCCAGGAAAAACUUGGGCUAGUUUUUUAUUAGAGGAAAGAUAUAGUUUUACUAACAUAGUGGAGCCUUUCAUACCAGAAAUAUGAGAAGAUGCAAAGAUCUUGCUUUAAAUGUAAUUUAGAACUGAAAAUCUACUAUGAAGUACUGCUGUAGUGACCAGAUACAAUUGCAAUGCAAAGUGAAAAACUUGAGGAUUAUUUUAUCCAUUGUGCUUUGGGACAUUGUGCUAUGAUCUUUUUGAUUUGUGACAAUGAGCAGAAAAAAGAGCAGAAAAACCCGAAUCACAGGUUCUUCUGAGAGACGGCAUUGGAAUCACCAGUUUUCUGAACUGCUUUUCAGUCCAAAUUCUGCCAAAUUUGCACUAUCUACAGAGAUGCUAAAAAAAAGGGAAGAAGGAUUUAUUUAAAAAAUAAUUACAGGAUGUCAUCCAAAGGGAGGCCAAGUAUUAUCCACCAUAGUUAAAUUCUUUUCAGACAGAGGCAGACAAAGGCAGAAAAUUAAAAAUGUUAGUAGUUGUGGAGAAAGCUAAUUAUUUCAGGAAAUGAGAUUUUGAUGCUGUUGACUCAACUCUUUAAAAUGCUCCUUGAUGCUACUUUUACAAAACCAAUAAAUAUCCAUCUAAGGGACCAAACUAAUCUACUUCUUUUCUGUAAUGAACAUACAAUAGCAUGAACAGGGUUUAAGGAACCCCCAAAUGAAAUAAACUGGCCAAAAUCAGUAAUUCUCACAAGAUGUCAGUUUUCACUUAAUAUUAGCAAGAUCUUGGGAAUGACACUGCAAAGGACUGAUAAGAUUUAAUGUAUAAGAAAGUUGGUCCACUUCUGCCAGAAUUGAGGAUGCGCUCAUGUUGGGAAUUGAUUUAGAUUGUCCCCUAUUUUCUUUUGAGGUUAGAAGUUGUUGCUUAUCUUCCAUGACUUUAAUCUUAUCGAACGGCCUGUUAGAACUGACGUUUGCUUCAUCAGUAGCUGAGAUGCACAUGUACAGCUUCUAUCAAGAUGAUAAUUGAUUUUAGCAAUUGCUCCAUUUUGUGAUUGGUCACAGCCAGCCAGAUGUUUAAACUGACAUUUUUAUCCAAUUGUUGAGUCCUGUCAAGGACCUGGAUAGGCAGAUGUUGAUGUUUCAUGGUGGUAAAGGUAUUGUCAUAGGAUGUAAGCUCUUCCAAGUAUAGCUGUCUUUUGCAAUUGACUGAUAGUGAUUUUGUCAAUGCCAAUGAUGUUCAAUUGGUUUUGGGAUUGUACCCAAAGUGCCUAUUACUAUUGGUACUAUCUUUGCUUUCUUUUGUCACAGUUGUUCUAUUUCUUUUGCAGGUAUUUGUAUGUUGUGUCUUUUCUCCAGUUCUUUCUCAUUAUUAUGGUUAUUUAUCAGAUUUUAAAUGUAUUCAUUAUUCUUGCAGAUGUUUUAAUGGCACUUGGAUAGUUGGCUUUACCGCUGUUGAUUGCUAUUGUUAUUAACUGCAAGGUGUCCUUUGCAGAUUCAGCAGUAUACAGAUGCAACAAAUAAAGAAUAACAGGGUUGGUACAGCUCUGUUGGAAUUUAAAUGCAUGCUGAAAUAUUUCUACUCAUUGUGGCAUAACACUGCACUGAACUAGAUAUGGUCAUUUAUAUAUCUCAUAUUAUUCUGAAUGUUUACUACUGCAUUUUGUGUGCUUUUCUAUUAUUUUGUAUUACGGUGAUUGGGCAGUUUUUGUUUUCUACUUUGGAAUUGCUGGAGUAUAUAAUAAAUUUUCAUAAACAAUGGGGGGUGUUACUGCAGGAGGAAAAGCACUCAAACACUCAGAAAAGAAUAUCGGUUGCUAAUACAGCCAAACCACGGCACUUUUGCACUCUAUUACAGUAAUAUAAAAAGUGUCCAGCAGAAAGAGCAGAGGGUAUUGAAGCAACUAAUUGCACACUAAUCCCCAAAUGACAUUUGGCAAAAUCUUUCCUGUGUUGGUUUCCAAGCCUAUGUAUGAGACUGUGCAGAAUUCUAUUAUUAUAUUAUGCAAAUUUAUCUUGAUCUAAAACAAGAACGGGCAACUUAAGAGCCUAAAUUCUCCAGUCUUGUUUUUGCCAUUCCUAGAGCUUUCCUACAAUUGCACUGCCAAAAUUUAGUGAAUACAAAGCCAGUUCCUGGUAGCAUGAAUGUUGGUUUUAUUUUUCCAUGGAAAUAAGAACAAAAAUGAGUGUGUGAAGCCAUUGCUAAGCUAAAGAUACUUGUUUUCUUUUAUCCAACACCACUCCCAAAAAGGAUUUGAAAAAAGAAAAGAUUCUUCCUCUCCAAGGAUCUCACUAGAGAAAAUCAGAAAAAUUGAAGUAGCAGCAAACAAUGGAAUGAAGGGACUGUUCAUUGUAUAUACACAUUUGUUUGCUCUCUCUAUGCACACAUGGAUUAAUGCACGCUCUCUCACACAUACACACAUAUACAUAUAUAUUAGCAGAACUGUAGUUUACAUCUUUUCCUGCUUUCCCCAUUCACUUCGCAUCAUAAAUUAACAUUGUAUGAUAUGUGUAUCCUUUGAGAUUAAAAUAAAUACAUUCAAAA